rnacentral:rRNA from 1 species
AGUGAACGCUGGCGGUAGGCCUAACACAUGCAAGUCGAACGGCAGCACAGUAAGAGCGUGCUCUUACGGGGGGCGAGAGGCGGACGGGAGAGGAAAAUAUCGGAACCUACUCUUUCGGGGGGGAUAACGUAGGGAAACCUACGCUAAGACCGCAUACGACCCACGGGGGAAAGCAGGGGAUCUUUUGACCUGGCGCGAUUGAAUGAGCCGAUGUCGGAUUCGCUAGUUGGGGGGGUAAAGGCCCACCAAGGCGACGAUCCGUAGCUGGUCUGAGAGGAUGGUCCGCCACACUGGAAGUGGGACACGGACCAUGCUCCUGCGGGAGGCAGCAGUCGGGAAUAGUGGACAACGGUGGCAAGCCUGAUCCAGCCGUACCGCGUGGGUGAAGGAAACCUUCGGGUUGUAAAGCCCGUUUGUUGGGAGAGAAAAGCAGCCGGUUAAUACCACGCUGUUGUGACGGUACCCAAAGAAUAAGCACCGGCUAACUUCGUG